UACGUAGGGGGCAAGCGUUGUCCGGAUUUAUUGGGCGUAAAGAGCGUGUAGGCGGCUUUACAGGUCCGUUGUGAAAACUCGAGGCUCAACCUCGAGACGCCGGUGGAAACCGUAAAGCUAGAGUCCGGAAGAGGAGAGUGGAAUUCCUGGUGUAGCGGUGAAAUGCGCAGAUAUCAGGAGGAACACCCGUGGCUAAGGCGGCUCUCUAGUACGUGACUGACGCUGAGACGCGAAAGCGUGGGGAGCGAACAGG
rnacentral:rRNA from 1 species